rnacentral:rRNA from 1 species
GAAUUUUCCGCAAUGGGCGAAAGCCUGACGGAGCAACACCGCGUGAGGGAAGAAUGUCUGUGGGUUGUAAACCUCUUUUCUUAAGGAAGAAAAUCUGACGGUACCUAAGGAAUAAGCAUCGGCUAACUCCGUGCCAGCAGCCGCGGUAAUACGGAGGAUGCAAGCGUUAUCCGGAAUCAUUGGGCGUAAAGCGUCUGUAGGUGGUUAAGAAAGUCAGCUGUUAAAUCUUACAGCUUAACCCUGAAUCAGCAGUGGAAACUUCUAGGCUAGAGUAUGGUAGGGGUAGAGGGAAUUCCCAGUGUAGCGGUGAAAUGCGUAGAUAUUGGAAGAACACCGA